rnacentral:rRNA from 1 species
GAUCAUGGCUCAGGAUGAACGCUGGCGGCGUGCCUAACACAUGCAAGUCGAACGGACUUACAUUGAAGCCUAGCGAUAUGUAAGUUAGUGGCGGACGGGUGAGUAACGCGUGGGUAACCUGCCUUGUACUGGGGGACAACAGUUGGAAACGACUGCUAAUACCGCAUAAGCGCACAGCUUCGCAUGAAGCAGUGUAGAAAACUCGGUGGUACAAGAGUCGGACCCGCGUCUGUAUUGUCG